GGCAGAGUACAGCUGCUGAUGCUUGAACAACAUGGGUUUGAACUGAGUGAAUACACUUACAUGCGGAUUUUCUUCCACCUCUGCCACCCCCGAGACAGCAAGACCAACACCUUUUCUUCUUUCUCCUCCUCAGCCUACUCAACAUGAAGACGAGUGAAGACCUUUAUAAUGAUCCACUUCCACUUAAUGAAUACAGCACCAUAUGGCAGUGACAGCACCUUCUGCAAGAAGAGAAACUCUAAACCAAUUACAACAAUAUCAUUUCUGUGUUGAACCAUAAGUCAUUGGAAACCCACUGCAACCAUGCUUCCAUAAUAGCAGCUGGAAUCUCCAAUUCUACAGAGAAAAGGAAUGUUGAAGUAACAUACAUGUAGCUUUGAGGAGGAGGCACGUGCAUUCAAGCUCAUGGAGAGGAUUGACAGCCACAGACAGGCACUCAUAAGAACUGAAUGUAAAUCAUCAAAGAGAAUAUACUCAGGAGGCACUGUCUACCAUAGGACGAAAGCCCUCAUCAGAUGCUUACAUCAUGAUCUUGGACUUCCCAGCCUCCAGACUGAUGCUAUGGAAGAUCAGAAAAUAUAAAUUUAUGAACUGCUAUAAACUGUUAUUUUCUUCGUGAAGAUCAGCCUCCAGGUUCAUCACAUGACUCAGCUAAGAGAAAAUAUCCAGUGGCUCAUCGUUACCUGUGGGAGGAGGUCUGAACUCCAUGGCUUUGCAUUCAUGUUCUUGUUUGUCUCACUUCAACCUUCAUUCCCUCCAAGUCCUCGUUGUCCUCCCAGGGUUCCUCUGCUACAGCCGGGGGAGUCUGAUCCCUGCUUCCUAAAUUUCUCUGAAGCUUAUCUACACCUAUGUUUUUGCUCCACUCUUCUUUCUCCUUUAUACACCAAUUAUUCUCCUGUUUUAUCCAAAUUAUUCCCUUCUGCAAGACUCACAUCAAGUACGAUUUCUUUCUA
ensembl:lncRNA novel transcript